AAAGUCGUAACAAGGUUUCCGUAGGUGAACCUGCGGAAGGAUCAUUACAAAUCUCUGCCGUGCCUGGGAGACCUUUGGGUUGACCGGCAGGCACAUAUGCACAGGGCCGCAAGGCUCUGAUGUUUACGCUUGUUUGUUUGACAGAUUUAUUAUGUGACAAAAACUUGACAACUUUUAACAAUGGAUCUCUUGGCUCUU
rnacentral:misc_RNA from 1 species